GAUGAACGCUGGCGGCGUGCCUAAUACAUGCAAGUCGAGCGAACAGACGAGGAGCUUGCUCCUCUGACGUUAGCGGCGGACGGGUGAGUAACACGUGGAUAACCUACCUAUAAGACUGGGAUAACUUCGGGAACCCGGAGCUAAUACCGGAUAAUAUAUUGAACCGCAUGGUUCAAUAGUGAAAGACGGUUUUGCUGUCACUUAUAGAUGGAUCCGCGCCGCAUUAGCUAGUUGGUAAGGUAAAGGCUUACCAAGGCAACGAUGCGUAGCCGACCUGAGAGGGUGAUCGGCCACACUGGAACUGAGACACGGUCCAGACUCCUACGGGAGGCAGCAGUAGGGAAUCUUCCGCAAUGGGCGAAAGCCUGACGGAGCAACGCCGCGUGAGUGAUGAAGGUCUUCGGAUCGUAAAACUCUGUUAUUAGGGAAGAACAAAUGUGUAAGUAACUAUGCACGUCUUGACGGUACCUAAUCAGAAAGCCACGGCUAACUACGUG
rnacentral:rRNA from 1 species